GCCCCCUCUGGCACCAGCGAGGUGAUACCGGCUUCCUGUGUCCCGGACCCAGCCGACGAGGCCGCGUCCGCUCCUCCGAGUGCGGCGGCAGCGGCGGCGGCGGCGAAGGGCGAGGUGGCUGGAGCCCCCGGGGCGGCCAGAGGGGUGAUAGAAAUUUCAGGAGCGUUGUCAUUGACGUCUCGGAUGCGCACGAUAACCUUGCAGGUGGCUGUCCGAGGCCCUGGACCUCGGUCUUGAGCCCGCACGUCCAGCUCGUAGGUGUCCUGGCGCUCAUAGUCCACCUGCCCAGCCAAGGUGAGGCGGCCAGAGCGCGGGUCGAGCCGGAAGAGGUGGCGGGCUUCGGGAGGGGUGCGGGCGCCGAAGGUGAACACAACGUCGCCGUUGGGACCUUCGUCGGGAUCGGCAGCGUCCAGGUCGAGCAGCAGCGAUCCCACAGGGCCUCUCUGGAAGCAACACUCGCCCUGUUCCACAAGAACAAAAUCACAGCGUGACGUUGAAACCUGGCAGGAACCCGGGGUAACUUAGCCAUCUGCCUAUGAAACUGUGGAACUUCAGCAUUACCACUUCCCCUGGCUGGGGUCCUCGAGAUGCCACCGUAGGCAUCUCCACUCCCGGAGCUGAAGGACAGGGAGGGAGUUGUGCCAACCUGGAACAAGACUGAUUCUUAUUGAUUCUUAUCGAAGGACUCUAUUGAACAGGCAAUGUAAAUACACAGGAAGAAGGGAGAGUUACAAACACAAGUCACACACUUGGAGAAAUAAAGACAAUGAGUUUGCUAAGCA
ensembl:antisense Gm9748 predicted gene 9748